UACGUAGGGUGCAAGCGUUGUCCGGAAUUAUUGGGCGUAAAGAGCUCGUAGGCGGUUUGUCGCGUCUGCUGUGAAAACUCGGGGCUUAACUCCGGGCCUGCAGUGGGUACGGGCAGACUAGAGUGCGGUAGGGGAGACUGGAAUUCCUGGUGUAGCGGUGAAAUGCGCAGAUAUCAGGAGGAACACCGGUGGCGAAGGCGGGUCUCUGGGCCGACAUUGACGCUGAGGAGCGAAAGCGUGGGGAGCGAACAGG
rnacentral:rRNA from 1 species